rnacentral:rRNA from 1 species
UACGUAGGGUGCGAGCGUUGUCCGGAAUUAUUGGGCGUAAAGAGCUCGUAGGCGGUUUGUCGCGUCGGCCGUGAAAACUUGGGGCUUAACCCCAAGCCUGCGGUCGAUACGGGCAGACUUGAGUUCGGCAGGGGAGACUGGAAUUCCUGGUGUAGCGGUGAAAUGCGCAGAUAUCAGGAGGAACACCGGUGGCGAAGGCGGGUCUCUGGGCCGAUACUGACGCUGAGGCGCGAAAGCUAGGGGAGCGAACGGG